UGGGGUUGUGGCUCAGUGGUAGAGUGCUCGCCUACCAUGUGAGAGGCACUGGGUUUGAUCCUCAGCACCUCAU
rnacentral:tRNA from 1 species